rnacentral:lncRNA from 1 species
GGGCCGAUGCCCGAUGACCUCCGGUGCCCCCUCAAGGACGAGGUGAGCGAGCACGUGGAGUCCCUGGUGGAGCCGUUCAUUUGAGCGGAGACCCCCGAAGCAAGCGGCAGCCCUAGCGCCGGGGCCCUCGAGGGCCACGAUGAAGACAACGCCUCCUCCGCCUAGGCUUCCCCUUUCCCGUUGCACUCAAAAUCACCCGACCCCAUGUGGGGCAUCAAAUGUGUAAUAUAUUUUUGUUUUUAACAACUCCUCUCUGUCAUGCUUAGCGUGCCACUGCUCGUCUCGUGAGGCCUUCCGGCGCCCCUCGUCG